rnacentral:rRNA from 1 species
UGGGGAAUCUUGCGCAAUGCGCGAAAGCGUGACGCAGCAACGCCGCGUGAGGGAAGACGGCCUUCGGGUUGUAAACCUCUUUCAGUUGGGACGAAGCUUCGCCGGUGAACAGCCGGCUGGAGUGACGGUACCUUCAGAAGAAGCCCCGGCUAACUACGUGCCAGCAGCCGCGGUAAUACGUAGGGGGCAAGCGUUGUCCGGAAUCAUUGGGCGUAAAGCGCGUGUAGGCGGCUCGAUGAGUCCGCUCUGAAAGUCCGGGGCUCAACCCCGGGAGGCGGGUGGAUACUGUCGGGCUCGAGUCCGGAAGAGGCGAGUGGAAUUCCUGGUGUAGCGGUGAAAUGCGCAGAUAUCAGGAGGAACACCAAUGGCGAAGGCAGCUCGCUGGGACGGUACUGACGCUGAGACGCGAAAGCGUGGGGAGCAAACAG